UACGUAGGGGGCUAGCGUUGUCCGGAUUUAUUGGGCGUAAAGAGCGUGUAGGCGGCCUGGUAGGUCUGCUGUGAAAACUCGAGGCUCAACCUCGAGAUGUCGGCGGAAACCAUCUGGCUAGAGUCCGGAAGAGGAGAGUGGAAUUCCUGGUGUAGCGGUGAAAUGCGCAGAUAUCAGGAAGAACACCCGUGGCUAAGGCGGCUCUCUAGUACGGUACUGACGCUGAGACGCGAAAGCGUGGGGAGCGAACAGG
rnacentral:rRNA from 1 species